UACGUAGGGGGCAAGCGUUGUCCGGAAUUACUGGGCGUAAAGCGCGUGUAGGCGGGCCGGCAAGUCUGGCGUGAAAGGCUCGGGCUCAACCCGAGAUGGCCGCUGGAAACUGCCGUUCUUGAGGGUCGAAGAGGAGAGUGGAAUUCCUGGUGUAGCGGUGAAAUGCGUAGAGAUCAGGAGGAACACCCAUGGCGAAGGCAGCCCCCUGGGCCAACACUGACGCUCAGGCACGAAAGCGUGGGGAGCAAACAGG
rnacentral:rRNA from 1 species